rnacentral:piRNA from 1 species
UUCCUCAGAAUAAUGCCCAUUUCCUUAUG